GAUGAACGCUAGCGGGAGGCUUAACACAUGCAAGUCGAGGGGUAAAUGGUAGCAAUACUAUGAGACCGGCGGACGGGUGCGUAACGCGUAUGCAACAUACCUUGUGCAGGGGGAUAGCCCGUGGAAACGCGGAUUAAUAUUCCAUAGUCCAGCUAUAUCGCAUGGUAUAGUUGGUAAAGAUUUAUCGGCACAAGUUUGGCAUGCGUCUGAUUAGCUUGUUGGUAGGGUAACGGCCUACCAAGGCUACGAUCAGUAGGGGUUCUGAGAGGAUUAACCCCCACACUGGUACUGGGACACGGACCAGACUCCUACGGGAGGCAGCAGUGAGGAAUAUUGGUCAAUGGGCGGAAGCCUGAACCAGCCAUCCCGCGUGAAGGAAGACAGCCUUACGGGUUGUAAACUUCUUUUCUGUCAGAAGAAUAAGCUUGUCGAGACGAGUGAUGCCGGUAUGACAGGAAUAAGCAUCGGCUAACUCCGUG
rnacentral:rRNA from 1 species